AUAUAUAUAGAGAGAGAGAGAGAGAGAGAGAGAGAGGCUACUAUGCUAUUAAUAACAUUAAGCCAUUGGUACUACCAAAUUUUUGGCCAUUAGAUUAAGAGAUGUGCGGUUAGGAUGAUAUGGACUCCUUUGGGUUGAGUGGGUGGUUGGUUGAAUAGUAUAAUCUACCAAGCUAUAGAGAGAGAGAGAGAGAGAGAGUCCGGUUGGGAUACUAUCGAUAGCACCAAGCGUUUGGUGCUAUCAAAUUUUCUGCCGUUAGAUUUAACCCUUUGACUAUUUUCACCCAUUAAAUUAUAUUAUUAAACCAAUAACCUACUCAACCCUAAAGAGCCUACAUUAUCCUAACUAUACAUUUUUUCAUCUAAAGACCGAAAACCUAAUAGUACUAAUAGCUUGGUGCUAUUGAUAGUAUUCCAGCUGGAAUACUAUCAAUAGCACCAAGCUAUUAGUGCUAUUAGUUUUUUAGUCUUUGGAUUGAAAAAUAUGCGGCGGUUAGGAUGAUGUGAGCCCCCUAGGGUUGAGUGGGUGGUUGAUUGAAUAGUAUAAUCUACCAGGCCAAAAUAAUCAAAGGGUUAAAUCUAAUGGUGGAAAACUCGAUAGCACCAAGUCCUUGGUGCUAUUGAUAGUAUUUAUGAAUAUAUAUUUCUAUAAUGUUCAACUUUUAUGUGUUGUUUCUGUAAAAAUCAAAAUAUUUUCAAAUAUGUUCAUGCUGUUAGAACCAGUUAGAAAAAUUUAGUUAACCAUAAGUUAAAUUCUUAACUCUGAUUAAUUUAUGAGAAAAUUUGACAUUUUUGUCCCUAUUAUAUUACACAGUUGUGGAUUUUGGAGGGACAUAUUUGUGAUACCAAAAUUGACAUUUCACUUAGAAAUUAAACAGUUCUAUAACGGUAACAAAUUGAAAGGACAUAUUUGAAAAUAUUAGAACUUUUGCAGGAACAACAUAUAAAAGUUAAAGUUUGUAGGGGUAUAUUUGCAAUUCAAUAUAUUUGCAGGGACAUGAAUGCAUUUAACGCUAGUUAAUUUGAGCUUCUUCCAAAAGCUAAAGUAGGUGUAAAUUUAAGGGUAAACUUUAAAUAACAUCCAUGUGGUUUCAUAUUUUUUUAUUUUAAUACUCUGUGAUUUAAAGUGUAUCAAUUUAGUACUAUAUUGUUUCUUUUUUUUUUUCCGUCAGCUCCUCUGUUAACUUUUCGUUAAAUUAUAUACAAAAAAAUUCAGAUACCCCACCUAUAGUUUAUCGAAUAUUCAUUUUAGCACUUUUUAGUUUUUACUUUUGUCACUAAUUUAACGAAAAAAUUAGUAGAGGGGAUAACAAAAAAAGAAAGAAAAAAUAAAAUCAUAAUGUACGAAAGUGAGAAAGUGUGAAACCACAAGAAUGGUAUUUGAAGUUUUUUUCUAAAUUUAAAUAGAAAAGGCCUAGAUUUAAGGUC
rnacentral:lncRNA from 1 species